rnacentral:rRNA from 1 species
GAUGAACGCUAGCGGCAGGCCUAAUACAUGCAAGUCGAGGGGCAGCAGGAAUAGCAAUAUUUGCUGGCGACCGGCGCACGGGUGCGUAACACGUAUACAAUCUACCUUUAACUGGGGGAUAGCCCGGAGAAAUCCGGAUUAAUACCCCAUAACAGUAGGAGAGGCAUCUCUCUUAUUUGAAAGUUCCGACGGUUAGAGAUGAGUAUGCGCCUGAUUAGUUUGUUGGUGAGGUAACGGCUCACCAAGACUACGAUCAGUAGGGGAUCUGAGAGGAUUAACCCCCACACGGAUACUGAGACACGGAUCCGACUCCUACGGGAGGCAGCAGUAAGGAAUAUUGGACAAUGGGCGCAAGCCUGAUCCAGCCAUGCCGCGUGCAGGAAGAAGGCCCUAUGGGUCGUAAACUGCUUUUAUCUGGGAAUAAACCACUCUAUUUAUGGGGUGUUGAAGGUACCAGAAGAAUAAGCACCGGCUAACUCCGUGCCAGCAGCCG